rnacentral:rRNA from 1 species
CAGUAGUCAUAUGCUUGUCUCAAAGAUUAAGCCAUGCAUGUCUCAGUGCAAGCCGUCCUGUACGGUGAAACCGCGAAAGGCUCAUUAAAUCAGUUAUGGUUCCUUAGAUAGUACCCACGUUACUUGGAUAACUGUGGUAAUUCUAGAGCUAAUACAUGCCGACAGAGUUCCGACCAGCGUCGCGGCGGCUUGCCGUUCGCGACGUUCGGAAGGAGCGCUUUUAUUAGAUCAAAAUCGGCCAAGCGCAACGUUCGCGUAGCGUUAGUGGCCCGCGCAAAGACUUGACGACUCUGAAUAACUUCGAGCUGAUCGCACGGUCUCGCACCGGCGACGUAUCUUUCAAAUGUCUGCCUUAUCAACUGUCGACGGUACGUUCGAUGCUUACCGUGGUGGUAACGGGUAACGGGGAAUCAGGGUUCGAUUCCGGAGAGGGAGCCUGAGAAACGGCUACCACAUCCAAGGAAGGCAGCAGGCGCGCAAAUUACCCACUCCCAGCUCGGGGAGGUAGUGACGAAAAAUAACGAUACGGGACUC